rnacentral:rRNA from 1 species
GCUUGCUUGUUGGGGUUGUAGGACACUCUAUACGGAGUUACAAAGGACGACAUUAGACGAAUCAUCUGGAAAGAUGAAUCAAAGAAGGUAAUAAUCCUGUAGUCGAAAAUGUUGUCUCUCUUGAGUGGAUCCUGAGUACGACGGAGCACGUGAAAUUCCGUCGGAAUCUGGGAGGACCAUCUCCUAAGGCUAAAUACUCUCUAGUGACCGAUAGUGAACCAGUACCGUGAGGGAAAGGUGAAAAGCACCCCGGAAGGGGAGUGAAAUAGAACCUGAAACCGUGUGCUUACAAGUAGUCAGAGCCCGUUAAUGGGUGAUGGCGUGCCUUUUGUAGAAUGAACCGGCGAGUUACGAUUUGAUGCAAGGUUAAGCAGUAAAUGUGGAGCCGUAGCGAAAGCGAGUCUGAAUAGGGCGUUUAGUAUUUGGUCGUAGACCCGAAACCAGGUGAUCUACCCUUGGUCAGGUUGAAGUUCAGGUAACACUGAAUGGAGGACCGAACCGACUUACGUUGAAAAGUGAGCGGAUGAACUGAGGGUAGCGGAGAAAUUCCAAUCGAACCUGGAGAUAGCUGGUUCUCUCCGAAAUAGCUUUAGGGCUAGCCUCAAGUGAUGAUUAUUGGAGGUAGAGCACUGUUUGGACGAGGGGCCCCUCUCGGGUUACCGAAUUCAGACAAACUCCGAAUGCCAAUUAAUUUAACUUGGGAGUCAGAACAUGGGUGAUAAGGUCCGUGUUCGAAAGGGAAACAGCCCAGACCACCAGCUAAGGUCCCAAAAUAUAUGUUAAGUGGAAAAGGAUGUGGCGUUGCCCAGACAACUAGGAUGUUGGCUUAGAAGCAGCCAUCAUUUAAAGAGUGCGUAAUAGCUCACUAGUCGAGUGACACUGCGCCGAAAAUGUACCGGGGCUAAACAUAUUACCGAAGCUGUGGAUUGUCCUUUGGACAAUGGUAGGAGAGCGUUCUAAGGGCGUUGAAGCAUGAUCGUAAGGACAUGUGGAGCGCUUAGAAGUGAGAAUGCCGGUGUGAGUAGCGAAAGACGGGUGAGAAUCCCGUCCACCGAUUGACUAAGGUUUCCAGAGGAAGGCUCGUCCGCUCUGGGUUAGUCGGGUCCUAAGCUGAGGCCGACAGGCGUAGGCGAUGGAUAACAGGUUGAUAUUCCUGUACCACCUAUAAUCGUUUUAAUCGAUGGGGGGACGCAGUAGGAUAGGCGAAGCGUGCGAUUGGAUUGCACGUCUAAGCAGUAAGGCUGAGUAUUAGGCAAAUCCGGUACUCGUUAAGGCUGAGCUGUGAUGGGGAGAAGACAUUGUGUCUUCGAGUCGUUGAUUUCACACUGCCGAGAAAAGCCUCUAGAUAGAAAAUAGGUGCCCGUACCGCAAACCGACACAGGUAGUCAAGAUGAGAAUUCUAAGGUGAGCGAGCGAACUCUCGUUAAGGAACUCGGCAAAAUGACCCCGUAACUUCGGGAGAAGGGGUGCUCUUUAGGGUUAACGCCCAGAAGAGCCGCAGUGAAUAGGCCCAAGCGACUGUUUAUCAAAAACACAGGUCUCUGCUAAACCGUAAGGUGAUGUAUAGGGGCUGACGCCUGCCCGGUGCUGGAAGGUUAAGAGGAGUGGUUAGCUUCUGCGAAGCUACGAAUCGAAGCCCCAGUAAACGGCGGCCGUAACUAUAACGGUCCUAAGGUAGCGAAAUUCCUUGUCGGGUAAGUUCCGACCCGCACGAAAGGCGUAACGAUUUGGGCACUGUCUCAACGAGAGACUCGGUGAAAUCAUAGUAC